CCUAGGGUGGUAGCAGUGGGGGAGAGUGGACAAGGGGGGGAACCCGGAGCCAGCGACGCCGCGUGAGUGAAGAAGUAUCUCGGUAUGUAAAGCUCUAUCAGCAGGGAAGAAGAAAUGACGGUACCUGAGUAAGAAGCCCCGGCUAACUACGUGCCAGCAGCCGCGGUAAUACGUAGGGGGCAAGCGUUAUCCGGAAUUACUGGGUGUAAAGGGAGCGUAGACGGUGAUGUAAGUCUGGAGUGAAAGGCGGGGGCCCAACCCCCGGACUGCUCUGGAAACUAUGUGACUGGAGUGCAGGAGAGGUGAGCGGAAUUCCUAGUGUAGCGGUGAAAUGCGUAGAUAUUAGGAGGAACACCAGUGGCGAAGGCGGCCUGCUGGACAGAAACUGACGUUGAGGCUCGAAAGCGUGGGGAGCAAACAGGAUUAGAUACCCUUGUAGUC
rnacentral:rRNA from 1 species